UACGUAGGGGGCAAGCGUUGUCCGGAUUUAUUGGGCGUAAAGAGCGUGUAGGCGGCCUUGCAGGUCAGCUGUGAAAACUCGAGGCUCAACCUCGAGACGUCGGUUGAAACCGCAUGGCUAGAGUCCGGAAGAGGAGAGUGGAAUUCCCGGUGUAGCGGUGAAAUGCGCAGAUAUCGGGAAGAACACCCGUGGCGAAGGCGGCUCUCUGGGACGGUACUGACGCUGAGACGCGAAAGCGUGGGGAGCGAACAGG
rnacentral:rRNA from 1 species